rnacentral:rRNA from 2 species
CGAACGCGUUGGCCCAAUUGAUUGAUGGUGCUUGCACCUGAUUGAUUUUGGUCGCCAACGAGUGGCGGACGGGUGAGUAACACGUAGGUAACCUGCCCAGAAGCGGGGGACAACAUUUGGAAACAGAUGCUAAUACCGCAUAACAACGUUGUUCGCAUGAACAACGCUUAAAAGAUGGCUUCUCGCUAUCACUUCUGGAUGGACCUGCGGUGCAUUAGCUUGUUGGUGGGGUAAUGGCCUACCAAGGCGAUGAUGCAUAGCCGAGUUGAGAGACUGAUCGGCCACAAUGGGACUGAGACACGGCCCAUACUCCUACGGGAGGCAGCAGUAGGGAAUCUUCCACAAUGGGCGCAAGCCUGAUGGAGCAACACCGCGUGAGUGAAGAAGGGUUUCGGCUCGUAAAGCUCUGUUGUUAAAGAAGAACACGUAUGAGAGUAACUGUUCAUACGUUGACGGUAUUUAACCAGAAAGUCACGGCUAACUACGUGCCAGCAGCCGCGGUAAUACGUAGGUGGCAAGCGUUAUCCGGAUUUAUUGGGCGUAAAGAGAGUGCAGGCGGUUUUCUAAGUCUGAUGUGAAAGCCUUCGGCUUAACCGGAGAAGUGCAUCGGAAACUGGAUAACUUGAGUGCAGAAGAGGGUAGUGGAACUCCAUGUGUAGCGGUGGAAUGCGUAGAUAUAUGGAAGAACACCAGUGGCGAAGGCGGCUACCUGGUCUGCAACUGACGCUGAGACUCGAAAGCAUGGGUAGCGAACAGGAUUAGAUACCCUGGUAGUCCAUGCCGUAAACGAUGAGUG